AGGCAGCAGCAGGGAAUAUUGUGCAAUGAGCGAAAGCUUGACACAGCGACACCGCGUGUGGGAUGACGGUUCUAGGAUUGUAAACCACUUUCAGGAGGGAAGAAAAUGACGGUACCUCCACAAGAAGACCCGGCCAACUAUGUGCCAGCAGCCGCGGUAAUACAUAGGGGUCAAGCGUUGUCCGGAUUUAUUGGGCGUAAAGAGCUCGUAGGCGGUUCAACAAGUCGGUCGUAAAAGUUUAGGGCUCAACCCUAAAAUGUCGAUCGAUACUGUUGUGACUAGGAUACGGUAGAGGUGAAUGGAAUUCCGAGUGUAGCGGUGAAAUGCGUAGAUAUUCGGAGGAACACCAAUUGCGAAGGCAGUUCACUGGACCGUGAUCGACGCUGAGGAGCGAAAGCUAGGGGAGCAAACAGGAUUAGAUACCCUGGUAGUCCUAGCUGUAAACGAUGGAUACUAGAUGUAGGAACUGGAUUGACGGUUUCUGUAUCGUAGCUAACGCGUUAAGUAUCCCGCCUGGGGAGUACGGUCGCAAGACUAAAACUCAAAGGAAUUGACGGA
rnacentral:rRNA from 1 species